UCAUCUCUCCACUCUCUCACUCUCCGCCAUAAAAUCUCAUUACAAUGUGAGUAUCACCGAUCUCCUUACUCCUCCAUGGCCAAAUCCUCAAGGGGCUACCCUCCAUUGUUACCAUCGAAACCAAUCGAAUUCAAACACAAACCACUACUACUCAAAAUCAAACACCCAACCCCAAUUAAUUUUGACUCCGACUGAAUCAAACCCUUCAAACGAAUCUCGAAUCACCCAUUUUUAUGAAAAUUCUCUGAUUUUUUUAACCAAGGUAUGAAUUGAUGCUUCCUUUUUGGGGUUCUAUGGAGCAAAAUUCUUUUCACUUUCUUAGUUAGAUAUUAUGAUUCUAUCUUGUAUUUCUUUCAAUUCUAUCUCUAUUAAUGUUUAUUUUGGUCUUUAUUAAGGGGAUUGGGGAUUGAAACUACAUUAAAGAGUUAGUUUGAUCAAGGUGGAAGAGUGUGUAAAUUGACUGGAAACUACAUCGGAGGAAUUGCAACUGGGUAAGUAUUAAUGUUUCUUCAAUUUUGAUGCUUUGUUUCAGAUCUUUUUGAAGUGUAACUUGGUUGCUUCUUUGAUGAAAAUGUUUGUCCUUUCAUAAAGACAAUAGAUACUUAUUUAUUCAAAUCUUUAUUUAGAUGUUAGAAAAUUGAAUUAAACAAGAAGCAAUUUGUAGCCAGGUUGAACCAACAACUUGAAUAGGGAUUCUUCUUCAUGUUCUUUUUUCACUUGAAACUUUUAUAGUACUUCUUAAUGUUAGUGUAUGCGCUUUUAGGUCAAGAGGAAUUCUGCAUUCUAAGCUAUUUCAAAGUCGAAACGUUGUUACGGAAACUUUGAAUCUUGCAAGCUAAAGAAUUUUGCAUCUACAUUGGCUUGAAAACAUAAUACGAUUAGGAAUAAAAUAAGAGCUUUGUUUAGUGGGAUAUUUUGAUUAUAUUUGAAAGUUAAUUUUGUUGAAACCUUUCAAAUUGGAAAUGAUUAACAUGUCUCAGAAGUCGAGUCAUCCAAUUAUAAAAUAUCAGUUUAUCUCAUAAACAUUGAUAUGUUGUACUAGAGGCCUUGAACUUCUCUUUUGCAACUUGUCAAUCAAUGCAAACUUCUCCUAGAUGAAACAUAUGUAUCUUUAAAUUUAUAGCUCUCUAAUUUCUAUUUUUGCACUCCUCAGUUUUAGACUUCUUUAGUUGACAAUUGUUGUUUUCUUGGUUUUUGAAGGUAUAUCUAAAUGUCUCGCUGCUAUAUGGUUUCUGAGAUAACAAAAGGUUGACUAUUAAGUUAGGUAUUGUAUCUCCAACACAUUUGAAAUGAUAGAUCAAAAAAGACUUUGAAUUUUGAAGUUCCGAAAUGGAUUUAUAUGUCAUUAUUUAUUGUAGAGAAACUAGAAACUAUUGUUUUACGAAGGGGAAGAGCUUGUAAAUAAGUUGGCAAAGUUGGAAAGGGAUGUCAAAGAAUGAGAAGGCGCAAGAAUUGACUCUGCGACAUUUUUAAAAACUGUAAGCUCUUGAACUCUUUUUGAUAAUUUUUAUCCUAAAUAGCAGUAGAUUUCUUAAUAUUUGUUUAGGGUACUUCAUUUUUGCAACUGGUUGUUGAAAUAAAUCUCUUAUAUCUCAACCGCUUGCUGAUUAUUUGAUUUUUAUGGCUCUCAUUGUUAAUAUUGUCUUUGUGAAUUAUGUUGUUCCUCUCUUUUAUAAUUGAAGAUAUUGAGAGUGGUAAUCAAACUUGUUAUAAAUUGUAUCUCACAAUCUUUUCUUUGAUCUCAUAUGAACAGUUCUCCUUUGCACUUUAUCGGGUGUGGUUCUCCUUGUAGAAAAUUGAUAUGUUUAUAACAUGUGACCGAUAAAAACAACUUUAGUACACUGGAUAGACAACAUGCAAAACUAUAAGUUACCUAUUAGAGAUACUGCUUCUCCUCCCUUCAAAUCUAUUGUCCGAAACUUUAAUUUUAUCCAAUUUCUAUUGUAUAACUAAAAAGAAUAUUUCAGGAAGUUCCUUCAAGUAUAAGAACACUCAGUUAUUACAAGUGUUAUUCGACAACUUUGAGUUAACAAUGCAUAAUACAUGUGCACAAAGGAUAUGGGAGUUUUCCUUGCUUAAUGUUUGAGUACAUUUUCUUUUUGAUACACGAGAAUGAAAUUCAAGCAUAAAUCUGAUUAUAAUCUAACAAACACUAUAUUAUUUUUGUUUUUCCAAAUCUAAAGGCAAUUCCUGCUAUGGGACUAUAAGAGUUGUAAACAUCUAUUUCACAAUUUUUCUUUGUUUCAUUUAGAAGAAAACUUUGAAUCUUUAGCACAUGAAAUUAGUAUUUAUGCGAUACUUGUAAUGUAACAAAAUAUGCUUCAAACUAUUCGGUGUAUGUCUAUACAAAAGGCUAUCAAUCACUUAAUGCUAUUAACUUUUUGUCCAUUAUCAUUGUGAGUUUCACCCACACAAGUGAAAUGCUUCAAUUUAAUGGUUAGUCUGAGGUAAAAUAUGUUUCUGACGUCUUGGUUGAAUUUAUAAUGCUUUUAAAAUAUUUUUUUCCACAGUACAAUUGUCUUUAAUGUAAAAUGUAGACAUGGUUAGCAUUUUGAGAUGAAACCUUUUUAUUUUGAUGUUGAUGCUAUAUACUUAUAUUCAUAGAAGACUUAUCAAUGAGAGACUUGAUUAUAUCUCAAAACUUCACACCUUUCUUGGCCAUGACUUCAAAAUUAUUGGAUAGAAGUGUUUUUUGGGCAUGCAGUGAUAAAAGAGAAGAAUAAACAUAAAGCUUGAUUUAGUGUCUUUACACAAAAAAGUAACACAUCUUUUAAUUCUAUAGUUAUAUUUCUAAAUCUUUUAAAAUGACUUGAUUUAACAUUUUAGUUUGUUUUCACAUAAUAAAAGAAAAUUUUGGAUAUCAAAAUUUGAUCUGACUUCAUGCUUGCCAUAAGAAAAUGUAGGCAAUAAUAAGUUAUAAGUAUUGAACAUUGUCUUGGGAUAGAAUGUUUGGUUACUCUACUAUACAACUACAUCAAUGAGUUUGUCUUUGAACACAAAUUUGAUGACCUUAUUUAACAAGAAAGUGAUGAGAUUAAGAGACUAUUUGAUUUAGCUAAGUGUUUGUUGAUAAUAAUAGCAGUUUGUAGUUAUAUUUAUAAAAAAAAACCGUAAAGCACAACUUUACCCUUGGUCAUUCCACUCUUCAUGUUUCUAUAUAGUAGAAAAGUCCUCUGUUAAACUUUACUAGCCUGUGCAAAUUCUAUACUUAUAAACUAAAUUUCUGAAAUAGUUUAUAUCCAUAUUUUUGAAAAAUAGUAACCUGACAUGAUACCUUAGUCACAGGGAUUAUCAGAGAGUUUCAUUUUAUUGUUGAGUUAGACAUAUCAUGUAAAUUACACUUCGACAAAGAUACUAUAAUCUUAUGUAGCCAUAUUCUUUUUAUUUGAUAAGUUGAAAGUCAUGUAAGUGAAUCUUUUCGUUGGAUCUAGAUAUGCGAGCUAUAUUUAUACUAUAUAGAACGAUGAGAUUAGUUACAUGUUUGUUAAAAGUUAAUAAUUUCAUAAUGAGGGCAUUUAGACUUAUACUACGUGUCUUUUUAGAUGCGCAGAGUAAGAAUGUAGAUAUGAGCUCUUUUGGAGUAUGAUGCGUCUGCUCGGCAUUUUAUAGAAACAAAAGGACUUUCACCAACUCUUGAUUUUUAAUGGAUAAUCUAGAAAAUUGUUGGAAGGUAAGAACUGUAGCUUUAGUAAAUAAAUCUUUUUUGUCCAUGUCUUAUUAUGUUUCUAAUAUUUGAAUCUUGUUUUGUGUUGGUGUCUUCACUGUUUCUUAUUUCUCUUCGAGUGUAUUUUUAUGAACUGAUUUUAUUUUCAAGUUUUUAUUCCUUCCAUGAAAUAUUAAAGUUGGAGUAAGUAGUUCGCGUUGAAUGAAAGAAAUUUUUCAGCUUAUCAAGACAACUGCAGCCACUUAAGGAUAUCAACUUCUAUUCUUUUGGAAUAUACAGAGAGCAUCUGCUCAAAUUUACUGGUAAUGAUUCGAGGCAUUAAUAGAUUUUAGAAAAUGAAUUUUGUCAUAUUUGAUGCGCUAUCAACUUCUAUUCUAAUGAGAAAUACAGGGAGCAUUUGCUCGAAGUUAUCAUUCGGAAAAUUUGAUGUUGUUUCUAAUAUACUCAGUCUGAUCCCACAAGUUGGGAAUGUGGAGGGUGGGGCGUACGCAGAUCUUACCUCUAUUUUUGAUGUUGUUUCCGGUAGAUCCUCAGCUAAAAAAAAGCAUUUUUAAGAACAG
rnacentral:lncRNA from 1 species